rnacentral:rRNA from 1 species
CAGCAGCCGCGGGAAUACGUAGGGGGCGAGCGUUGUCCGAAGUUACUGGGCGUAAAGCGCGCGUAGGCGGCUUCUUAAGUCUGAGGUGAAAGGUUCAACGCUUAACGUGAACAGUGCCUUGGAUACUGGGGAGCUUGAGUAUGGGAGAGGGCAGUGGAAUGGCUGGUGUAGCGGUGAAAUGCGUAGAUAUCAGUCGGAACACCCAUGGCGAAGGCAGCUGCCUGGCCUAAUACUGACGCUGAGGUGCGAAAGCGUGGCGAGCGAACGGGAUUAGAUACCCCGGUAGUCCCUGUCUCUUAUA